GUUGUUCUUGCUUGGCCUUUUACAUAACUAUCAUUCUAAAUGUACCACACACCUGCGCGAGGUUACUUUCUUCUCUGAUGCGAACAAUCUUUAUGCGUACGACAUUGUAAUAAGCUAGAAUGUUACCAUGCACCAGAUUGUGCAGAUCAGUUGGUUCUUUCCUGAGCUAUGGAACUUCUCUGAUUCAUCUUAUUGCUGGCUAUUUUCAUAAAUUAUAUCAAAAUCUUCAUGCCUAAGACUUCUGAGGCAUUGCCCUUUAGGAUGCUUGAUGAAUUCUGUGCUAGUCCAGAAUGUAGUGCAAAGCCUGUUCCAUUCAUUCUUUAUGUGAAUAUUUAUAUUUUCUCCCUUUUAUCUGGGUUGUCCACCUUUAUGUGUAUUUUUAUCGCUCAAACAAAGCUUUGGACUUUUGCUGCAGGCCGAGCCCAAGCGUCGGAAGAGAUAGCUACAUCCAUUGGAGUGCCACAAAGCACGGAGGCCAGCAUUCUUUGCAAGUUAUAUACUCUGUUGUGCUUUCGAGUUUUGUACAGUGCAGAGAACUGUUCUCCGCUUGACUCUGGUGUCAAUUAGUAACUGCCUUUGUUUGUGAUGAAACUGUGUAAUAUCUAGGGGAUGACUUUUUAGUACAUUUCUGUAGCUUUACUCUGAAAGCUUGUCUCGUUCGAAAAAAAAGGGGAGGCGUGUCACUUUUGUUUGUUAAAUAGUAAUUACUAAUUUAUGUAUAAAUUAGUAAUUACUAAUUUAUGCAUAAAUAAAACUGUGAAAAAAUUCGAUACAUGCUAAUAAAUAUAGAAGUUAUUGUUACGCCUCCUAUGAAGAGGUUCUAGAUUGUUGCCAAUGUGGCAGCUAGCUUGGUCAACAAGGCCCACAUUCCAUGUCAUCGUCAAAGCGCCAAGGUGAGGGAGCCCACUAGCAUAUUUGCAGGCUAGGCCAAGGCUCCGAAGUGAUACGCCUUUGAAGGGUAUAUGCCGAAGUGGUAAGAGGUGGAACGUC
rnacentral:lncRNA from 1 species